UGCGUAGGCGGCGUUGUAAGUCAGAUGUGAAAGCCCACCGCUUAACGGUGGAACUGCAUUUGAUACUGCAGUGCUUGAAUCAGGCUGAGGUCAGCGGAAUGUGUCAUGUAGCGGUGAAAUGCAUAGAUAUGACAUAGAACACCAAUUGCGAAGGCAGCUGGCUAGACCUGUAUUGACGCUGAGGCACGAAAGCGUGGGGAGCGAACAGGAUUAGAUACCCUGGUAGUCC
rnacentral:rRNA from 1 species